GCGUACAACAUAGAUUUAAUGCAUCAGAUCCAAUUAGAACUACACAGUUAAGUGCGCUCAGUCUAGAGUAGUACUGGGAUGGGUGACCACCCAGGAAGUCCUAGUGUUGUACAUU
rnacentral:rRNA from 1 species